rnacentral:rRNA from 1 species
CGCUAGCGACAGGCUUAACACAUGCAAGUCGAGGGGCAGCGGAGGUGAGUGCUUGCGCUUGCCAGACGGCGACCGGCGCACGGGUGAGUAACACGUAUGCGACCUGCCCGUAGCAGGGGGAUCAGCGGAAGAAAUUCCGUCUAAUACCGCGUAAUAUCUUUCGGGGGCAUCCCUGAGGGAUUAAAGGAAGUGAUUCCGGCUACGGAUGGGCAUGCGGCGCAUUAGCUAGUCGGCGGGGUAACGGCCCACCGAGGCGACGAUGCGUAGGGGUUCUGAGAGGAAGGUCCCCCACACUGGUACUGAGACACGGACCAGACUCCUACGGGAGGCAGCAGUGAGGAAUAUUGGUCAAUGGGCGAGAGCCUGAACCAGCCAAGUCGCGUGAGGGAAGACGGUCCUAUGGAUUGUAAACCUCUUUUGUCGGGGAGCAAAAAGGCCUCGUGAGGCCACAAGCGAGAGUACCCGAAGAAAAAGCAUCGGCUAACUCCGUGCCAGCAGCCGCGGUAAUACGGAGGAUGCGAGCGUUAUCCGGAUUUAUUGGGUUUAAAGGGUGCGUAGGCGGACUGGAAAGUCAGCGGUAAAAUCGAGAGGCUCAACCUCUUUCCGCCGUUGAAACUGUCGGUCUUGAGUGGGCGAGAAGUAUGCGGAAUGCGUGGUGUAGCGGUGAAAUGCAUAGAUAUCACGCAGAACUCCGAUUGCGAAGGCAGCAUACCGGCGCCCAACUGACGCUGAGGCACGAAAGCGUGGGUAUCGAACAGGAUUAGAUACCCUGGUAGUCCACGCAGUAAACGAUGAAUACUAAUUGUCCCGGUCAGAAUGAUGACUGGGUGAUACAGCGAAAGCGUUAAGUAUUCCACCUGGGGAGUACGCCGGCAACGGUGAAACUCAAAGGAAUUGACGGGGGCCCGCACAAGCGGAGGAACAUGUGGUUUAAUUCGAUGAUACGCGAGGAACCUUACCCGGGCUCAAACGUAGAAUGACAGACGGUGAAAGCCGUUCUCCCUUCGGGGCAGUCUACGAGGUGCUGCAUGGUUGUCGUCAGCUUGUGCCGUGAGGUGUCGGCUUAAGUGCCAUAACGAGCGCAACCCCCAUCUACAGUUGCUAACAGGUAAAGCUGAGGACUCUGUGGAGACUGCCGGCGCAAGCUGUGAGGAAGGCGGGGAUGACGUCAAAUCAGCACGGCCCUUACGUCCGGGGCGACACACGUGUUACAAUGGCAGGUACAGCGGGAAGCCAUAUGGCGACAUAGAGCGGAACCCGAAAACCUGUCUCAGUUCGGAUUGGAGUCUGCAACUCGACUCCAUGAAGCUGGAUUCGCUAGUAAUCGCGCAUCAGCCACGGCGCGGUGAAUACGUUCCCGGGCCUUGCACACACCGCCCGUCA